UCUUCGAUGGUCUAGUGGUCAUGAUUUCCGCUUGUCACGCGGGAGACCGGGGUUCGAUUCCCCGUCGGAGAG
rnacentral:tRNA from 1 species